rnacentral:rRNA from 1 species
UGGGUCCUACGGGACGCAGCAGUGAGGAAUAUUGGUCAAUGGACGAGAGUCUGAACCAGCCAAGUAGCGUGAAGGAUGACUGCCCUAUGGGUUGUAAACCUCUUUUGUCAGGGAGCAAUUGGCGCUACGUGUAGCGUUAUCGAGAGUACCUGAAGAAAAAGCAUCGGCUAACUCCGUGCCAGCAGCCGCGGUAAUACGGAGGAUGCGAGCGUUAUCCGGAUUUAUUGGGUUUAAAGGGUGCGUAGGCGGAAUGCCAAGUCAGCGGUAAAAUCGCGGGGCUCAACCUCGCUCCGCCGUUGAAACUG